rnacentral:rRNA from 1 species
AUUGAACGCUGGCGGCAGGCCUAACACAUGCAAGUCGAGCGGAUGAAGGGAGCUUGCUCCUGGAUUCAGCGGCGGACGGGUGAGUAAUGCCUAGGAAUCUGCCUGGUAGUGGGGGAUAACGUCCGGAAACGGGCGCUAAUACCGCAUACGUCCUGAGGGAGAAAGUGGGGGAUCUUCGGACCUCACGCUAUCAGAUGAGCCUAGGUCGGAUUAGCUAGUUGGUGGGGUAAAGGCCUACCAAGGCGACGAUCCGUAACUGGUCUGAGAGGAUGAUCAGUCACACUGGAAGUGAGACACGGUCCAGACUGCUACGGGAGGGAGCAGUGGGGAAUAUUGGACAAUGGGCGAAAGCCUGAUCCAGCCAUGCCGCGUGUGUGAAGACGGUCUUCGGAUUGUAAAGCACUUUAAGUUGGGAGGAAGGGCAGUAAGUUAAUACCUUGCUGUUUUGACGUUACCAACAGAAUAAGCACCGGCUAACUUCGUG